rnacentral:pre_miRNA from 1 species
GACUUCAACUGAAAAAGUCAUCAACAACAAAGUUGUAUAAUUCAUCUAGAUCUACAAUUUUUAUUUUGAUCAUUUGUUCAUCCGACAAAAUGAUUUUAAUAUUAUUCACAAAAUUUACAUAUCUCUCUUAUAGUUUUAUAAACCAUAUAAGAGAUGUAAAUUUUGUAAACAAUGUUUCUAUCACUUUCUCGGAUGAAGAAAUGACCACAAUAAAAGUUAUAGAUAUUGAUGAGUUAUACAACUUUGUUGUUGAUGACUUUUUCAGUUGAAAUC